rnacentral:lncRNA from 1 species
CUAUCUGAACUUGAAUUUUCGAAAGCUGUUCGAUCGUCUCAUGAAGGAAAGCAGAACUCUUGACAGUACAUGCCAUAAAUCUUUACGCCCAGACUUUAUUCAGGUGAAUACUUUUAUAUUUUUUUGAAUUUCCACAAUUUUUUUUGUUUUAGCAUUUUUAACAAAUUUAAUUUACGUGUAGAGACAAGUACUGACUCAUGUCAGCAUCAUGCACGUGGACGAGAACCAAAUUUGAAAUGUUACUGUCUACACAUCGUGCCAUCUGGAGGUUGUAAACAAAGAUGGCUUAUACUUCUGCUCUGCAUACGAAAGAAUUGUGGCGUACCC